rnacentral:lncRNA from 1 species
GCCGCGUGGAUUCCUUCCAGACGGCCGGAGCCCCUCCCCCGCCUUUCCUACCCGGCCCCGGCGCCGGGCUUCCCCCCGCCUUAGGAAGCUCGCCCUUCCAGCCAGCGGCCCCGACUGUACUGGCUCCGCGGCAGCCUUGGCUCAGGCGGCCAGCGCUGGACAGCGGCCGGGGAAUCCCGUGCUGCGCGGCGCGGCCGAGGGGCGGGCCUGGCCCGGAGAGUACCGCGGCUUCGGCCCUCUGCCGUGCGCCUCGCGCGUUUUGCAUCGCUGAGCGAAGCAGAGACGUAAGGAAAUGGUAGCAGAGCGCGGGGCGAGGGCAGAGGGGAGUCAUUUCCCCCAGAGUUUGGGCUGGUUGGGUCCUCGGCACCUCCGGACGUGCGCCAGGCUUCCACCCUGAAGACGCGCCCGUCCUGGGAACAUGACCUCGGAAGCAGUCGCAGCCGCCGCCGGACGAGGGGCGUGGAGAGGCGGUGCCCCGGCAGCCCAGGGAUGGCGCAGGCCCUGGGGCCCCAGGAAGACGGCGCCGUUGGCGUCUUGAGUCUUGCUGCCGCCUCUGGCUGCCUAGCCCUCUUGCUUUCGCUCUUCUUGUUUGCUCUGGCCCCCAUUUUUCCGAGAGUGUACGCCAGGCCCGGGCCCUGCUCCUGGACUGAUUUACCUGGGGCGGCACCGCCCGCAGCCAUGACUCCCGGGCUCUGAGUUUAGCGGCGCCCUAAGCGCCGGAACCGCAUCUCGGCGCCGGUGACAACACCGCGCCCGAUUUCCUUUCAGCACCGAGUGUCAGACGUUGUAGUGUUUAUUCGACCGGAGGCAGGGAGGGCGCUACUAUCCUAUCACAGGUUUGGGAUAACCCAACAGAAACGCAGUGGGAACCCCUUGGCUAGGAGUCGAACAAGGAUCCCGGGUCGUGGUAGUAUAGUUUACAGUGGGGGAUAAAGCAGUAACUUUCUAGAUAGUUGUUAAUAAUUUUUUCUGAGCUGCAAGUAUCUCCUUAUUUCUCACAAAAAUCUGCGAGCUGAAUUGAAUGGUUUUGAAUUUUCAAAAUUAAAAAAGCUGUGGGGCAGUUUUAGAGUAUUAUUGGGGAAAUUUUACAUUCGUUGCUAUGCCUUUCCAUACAGGCCCCCCCUUUUCGGUCUCCUUAACUGGUUCGUCUUCGUAGUUGGAAUUCCUUUGCAUGAGGCUAUGGAAUAUACACUACCUUCUCUGGACGUUAACUAUUAGCUACAGCUUGAGGACUCCCAAAUUUAUGCCUUUAGCAACACGAUCCGAGCCCUGCAACUUUUCGACCUCAUUUUGAGCCAACAUUAUUUUGCUCCCUUAUUUUGUUGAAGUACUUUCUCCAGUUAUUUACUUAAAAUGUUCACAUGAGAGACAUACUAUUUGAUUCCUUGCUUGUACUAAGAUGUAAUGAUUGUAACGACUUCAUUUUCCUAGACCCAGAUAAAAGUCUCGCUUCAUUCAUGAAACUUUUUACAAUCAGUAGUGACCUCUGCCCCAUCUUAUCUCUUUUAACACUUACUAUAUCAUUCAUUAGUCGUUAGCCAUAUACUUUCAUUGUGUAAUCUUCUGAUGUAUAUGCAUUUUAUCUCUCACAUGAAUUAGAGUCAUAAACUUUUAUGAAUUCUUCAAAGCACUUACUUCAGUGUUUACACAAAAGUUACUUGUUUGGCUUAUUACAAUAUCUAACACCAAGCAGGUUACCUUCUAUUUUUUGUUGUU